rnacentral:rRNA from 1 species
CACGUAGGGGCCAAGCGUUGUCCGGAUUUAUUGGGCGUAAAGAGCUCGUAGGCGGUUCGACAAGUCGGGUGUGAAAACUCCGGGCUCAACCCGGAGACGCCACCCGAUACUGUCGUGACUGGAGUCCGGUAGGGGAGUGGGGAAUUCCUGGUGUAGCGGUGAAAUGCGCAGAUAUCAGGAGGAACACCUAUGGCGAAGGCAGCUCGCUGGGACGUAACUGACGCUGAGACGCGAAAGCGUGGGGAGCAAACAGG